CCGAUUAGAGGGGAAUCACCCACCUGGUGUCCCAGGUCUAAAUCAGUCCCUGAUUAGAGGGGAAUCACCCACCUGGUGUCCCAGGUCUAAAUCAGUCCCUGAUUAGAGGGGAAUCACCCACCUGGUGUCCCAGGUCUAAAUCAGUCCCUGAUUAGAGGGGAAUCACCCACCUGGUGUCCCAGGUCUAAAUCAGUCCCUGAUGAGAGGGGAAUCACCCACCUGGUGUCCCAGGUCUAAAUCAGUACCUGAUUAGAGGGGAAUCACCCACCUGGUGUCCCAGGUCUAAAUCAGUCCCUGAUUAGAGGGGAAUCACCCACCUGGUGUCCCAGGUCUAAAUCAGUCCCUGAUUAGAGGGGAAUCACCCACCUGGUGUCCCAGGUCUAAAUCAGUCCCCGAUUAGAGGGGAAUCACCCACCUGGUGUCCCAGGUCUAAAUCAGUCCCCGAUUAGAGGGGAAUCACCCACCUGGUGUCCCAGGUCUAAAUCAGUCCCUGAUUAGAGGGGAAUCACCCACCUGGUGUCCCAGGUCUAAAUCAGUCCCUGAUUAGAGGGGAAUCACCCACCUGGUGUCCCAGGUCUAAAUCAGUCCCUGAUUAGAGGGGAAUCACCCACCUGGUGUCCCAGGUCUAAAUCAGUCCCUGAUUAGAGGGGAAUCACCCACCUGGUGUCCCAGGUCUAAAUCAGUCCCUGAUUAGAGGGGAAUCACCCACCUGGUGUCCCAGGUCUAAAUCAGGCCCUGAUUAGAGGGGAAUCACCCACCUGGUGUCCCAGGUCUAAAUCAGGCCCUGAUUAGAGGGGAAUCACCCACCUGGUGUCCCAGGUCUAAAUCAGGCCCUGAUUAGAGGGGAAUCACCCACCUGGUGUCCCAGGUCUAAAUCAGUCCCUGAUUAGAGGGGAAUCACCCACCUGGUGUCCCAGGUCUAAAUCAGGCCCUGAUGAGAGGGGAAUCACCCACCUGGUGUCCCAGGUCUAAAUCAGGCCCUGAUUAGAGGGGAAUCACCCACCUGGUGUCCCAGGUCUAAAUCAGGCCCUGAUUAGAGGGGAAUCACCCACCUGGUGUCCCAGGUCUAAAUCAGUCCCUGAUGAGAGGGGAAUCACCCACCUG